rnacentral:piRNA from 1 species
UGGGUGUCACUUGGACUUGUUCCAGGAAUU